rnacentral:rRNA from 1 species
AGCAGCCGCGGUAAUUCCAGCUCCAAUAGCGUAUAUUAAAGUUGUUGCAGUUAAAAAGCUCGUAGUUGAAUUUCGGGAUCAAUAUGUUGGUCGUGCCUUGGUACGUACUGGCAUUAUUGGUUCCUACCUUCUGAAGAACCUCGAUGUCAUUAAUUUGGUGUCUUGGGGAAUCAGGACUGUUACUUUGAAAAAAUUAGAGUGUUUAAAGCAGGCUCGCGCUUGAAUACAUUAGCAUGGAAUAAUGAAAUAGGACGUUUGAUUCUAUUUUGUUGGUUUUUAGGAUCGACGUAAUGAUUAAUAGGGAUAGUUGGGGGCAUUAGUAUUCAAUUGUCAGAGGUGAAAUUCUUGGAUUUAUUGAAGACUAACUACUGCGAAAGCAUUUGCCAAGGAUGUUUUCAUUAAUCAAGAACGAAAGUUAGGGGGAUCGAAGACGAUCAGAUACCGUCGUAGUCUUAACCAUAAACUAUAGCCGACUAGGGAUCGGAUGAUGUUAAUUUUUAAUGACUCAUUCGGCGCCUUA